rnacentral:rRNA from 1 species
GACGAACGCUGGCGGCGUGCCUAAUACAUGCAAGUAGAACGAGUUGCGAACGGGUGAGUAACGCGUGGUAACCUGCCUCAUAGCGGGGGAUAACUAUUGGAAACGAUAGCUAAUACCGCAUAUCAUCGUAUGUGCCCAGAUGUGCUUCGCUAGUAGGUGGGGUAACGGCUCACCUAGGCGACGAUCCCUAGCUGCUCUGAGAGGAUGACCAGCCACACAGGAACUGAGACACGGUCCAGACUCCUGCGGGAGGCAGCAGUGGGGAAUAUUGCACAAUGGGAGCAAGCCUGAUGCAGCAAUGCCGCGUGUAUGAAGAAGGCCUUCGGGUUGUAAAGUACUUUCAGCGGGGAGGCGUUACUCGCAGAAGAAGCACCGGCUAACUCCGUGCCAGCCGCCGCGGUAGUAC